ACGUAGGUGGCAAGCGUUGUCCGGAAUUAUUGGGCGUAAAGGGAGCGCAGGUGGGAAUGUAAGUCAAUCUUAAAAGUGCGGGGCUCAACCCCGUGAUGGGAUAGAAACUACAUUUCUUGAGUGCAGGAGAGGAAAGUGGAAUUCCUAGUGUAGCGGUGAAAUGCGUAGAUAUUAGGAGGAACACCAGUGGCGGAGGCGACUUUCUGGACUGUUACUGACACCGAGGCUCGAAAGCUAGGGGAGCGAACGG
rnacentral:rRNA from 1 species